AGCAGCAGCAGGGGAAGUCCCUGCAACUCACUGCGGUGCCUCGUCUCCUCCCCUCCCUGGUAUCAGCAAUAAGGUCAGAAGAACAUGUGCCGAGCAGUGAUUGGAGGAGCUCGGCACAUGCUGAUUAGAAGAGCCCCUGAUUGGAGGAGCUGUCACAUGCUCCUCUGACCCCUGAAACACGGAGGAUGUCACACAGCAUGGCCCUUGUCUAAAUAUGGCGUGAGAGGUACAGUCCCCAUUACCGACAAUGGGCACCUAGCAAAGCCUAUCGAGCUUCAGUGAAGCCUUUCCUUGGCUGAUGCCUGGAGACAACCGUCGCACAUAGCUGACAGCAGUAGAAGGCUCAGAAGAGGACACCACCUAAGAGGUUGACACCGCCGGACCUCGCAGGACAGAUCCCCCUCCCCGGCCGGAGAAGGGGACGCAGCAGCAUUCACUACAGACAGUCCGCUCACGUGACACCGCACGUGACGCGUGAACCAGGAAGUGGCAGACGGGACCCGUGGACGGAGGAGACCGGCGGCUGCUGGGGCCGUGCACGGACCAAAGGAGACGGAGGACACUGACGAAGAGGACCGAAGCCUGAGGUUGUGGAAGGAAGAGACGCGGUCACCGGCGGCAGGCAGAGACCUGCCCCCAGCGGUUUUACAUUGAUGGUUCAUCUACAGCACCUUCGUCUGAUGUACAUGGCAAAUUGCUAUGAGAAAUAUCUGCACAUAAAUGUUCUAGCUACAUUAUUCAUUCAGCUGUGAAGGCGAAUUGAAGCUACUGUAAGACACACGGAACCAGUCCCUAUCUCAAUUUACUCUACAAUGUACACUAUUAUAUUCCCCCUCCAGGUCCACUGAGAUGGUAAAGUAUGAACAAGUCGGUAUCAGUGAAAAAAAUCAUGAAAAACUCAUGUCGACUUUUUGACCUGUCAACAUUUUAAAAGUCAGUGUUUUGACCUAGUCUGUAUUUUAAAUGUCGGUAUUUUGACCAUGUCGGGAUGUUGACCUCGGUCAAUGGUUAUCGGUAUUUUGACCGUCGGGUUCUUGAUUGUAGGUACAUUGACCGCAUUCCAGUCUACUGUGCAGUAUGAACAUCGCCUGUGGUGAGUAGGAAAGCUCCCAGGCUCUUGAGAUUAUUUUGACUAAGGACUUCUCUGCUCACCACACUGACGUGCUGACUAAGGGGUCUAUUCAUGAAGC